rnacentral:rRNA from 1 species
CCUACGGGGGGCAGCAGUAGGGAAUAUUGGGCAAUGGGCGCAAGCCUGACCCAGCCAUGCCGCGUGCAGGAAGAAGGCCCUCUGGGUUGUAAACUGCUUUUGGGAGGGGACAAAAAGCCAAUGCGUUGGUAAUUGAGUGUACCUCCAGAAUAAGCACCGGCUAACUCCGUGCCAGCAGCCGCGGUAAUACGGAGGGUGCAAGCGUUGUCCGGAUUUAUUGGGUUUAAAGGGUGCGUAGGCGGCCAAAUAAGUCGGGGGUGAAACCCACAGGCUUAACCUGUGGAGUGCCCUCGAUACUGUAUGGCUUGGGUUAUCUCUAGGCGGGCGGAAUGGAAGGUGUAGCGGUGAAAUGCAUAGAUAUCUACCAGAACGCCGAUAGCGAAGGCAGCUCGCUGGGGAUAUACCGACGCUGAGGCACGAUAGCGUGGGGAUCAAACAGGAUUAGAUACCCGAGUAGUC